UCACCACUCUGGCCUCAAUGGCUUAGAUGAAGUGUAGUAUCUGUUCUUUAUAGUUUAACAACUAUAACAGUCCUACCGGGACUCGUUCGUUGUUUCCUUAUUUUUGUCGGCCAGUGCGCAAUCGGUGGACGCGGGCUUGCUCGCUCCGCCGAGUGCGACGAUGACCUCGCCUCUACACUCACGGCUCGUGUUGUCAUGGCAUC
rnacentral:snRNA from 1 species